AACUGAGGAUAAUACUGGAUAGGCAAUUAUUCCUGGAAUGGAUUUUUGUUUAAAUGUUUUUUCGCCUAAGGAUGGGUCUGCGGCCGAUUAGGUAGUUGGUUAGGUAACGGCUUACCAAGCCAUUGAUCGGUACGGGUUGUGAGAGCAAGAGCCCGGAGAUGGAACCUGAGACAAGGUUCCAGGCCCUACGGGGUGCAGCAGGCGCGAAACCUCCGCAAUGUGAGGAAUCGCGACGGGGGGAUCCCAAGUGCCAUUCUUAACGGGAUGGCUUUUCAUUAGUGUAAAGAGCUUUUGGAAUAAGGGCUGGGCAAGACCGGUGCCAGCCGCCGCGGUAACACCGGCAGCUCUAGUGGUAGCAGUUUUUAUUGGGCCUAAAGCGUCCGUNACCGGUUUAACAAGUCUCUGGUGAAAUCUUGUAGCUUAACUGUGGGAAUUGCUGGAGAUACUAUUANACUUGAGACCGGGA
rnacentral:rRNA from 1 species